rnacentral:rRNA from 1 species
GUGCCAGCAGCCGCGGUAAUACAGAGGUGGCAAGCGUUGUUCGGAAUUACUGGGCGUAAAGGGCGCGUAGGCGGCCUUCUCAGUCAGACGUGAAAUCCCCGGGCUUAACUCGGGAACUGCGUCUGAUACUGGAAGGCUAGAGUUCGGGAGAGGGAUGUGGAAUUCCAGGUGUAGCGGUGAAAUGCGUAGAUAUCUGGAGGAACACCGGUGGCGAAGGCGGCAUCCUGGACCGAAACUGACGCUGAUGCGCGAAAGCCAGGGGAGCAAACGGGAUUAGAUACCCCGGUAGUCCUAGCCCUAAACCAUCAGGACUUGGCGUGGGCCCCGUCCGGGGUCCGUGUCGUAGCCAACGUGAUAAGUCCUGCGCCUGGGGAGUACGGUCGCAAGGCUGAAACUCAAAUGAAUUGACGG